rnacentral:misc_RNA from 1 species
GUGGGGGUGGACGGGCCCGCGCGUCGGUGACAGGCCUCGAGGCUGUAUCAACGGAGGGGACGGUCGACGGACGGGACCAGCGGCGCUCGCUAACCGCAGCGUGCCUGUGAUACCUAACUUGCGGCUUGCUGAGAUCCGCGCUGCUCCCGGCAGGCUGAAAAGACGAUUGUUUACAGCGUGUCUGUCGGCGCAGUCUAUCCCACGAGCGGUAGGCGGCGGCAGUUUGCAGCUGGCGCGGGUGACCUCGUUUUACCGAGGUGUAUGCCCAAUACUGAAGUGCAAAUUCUCGGUGAUAUAAUGAGUCGGCCCCGGCCCCUGUCGGGGAUGCGGCCUGACGACGUGUUCUACGAGCUGAGCCCCGUGACCGAGUAUCUGCUGCUGGGCGGCGCUCCGGCCGUCACCGUCGAACGCAUCCGCCAGCUGGGCGUCACCUGCGUCAUCAACGUCACCGAGCUGCCCAACCUGCCCGUCGCCGGUGUCGACUACAUCCGCAUCGCCAUCGACGACUUGCCGUCGGCGCAGCUGUCGGCCUUCUUCGACAGCGCGGCCGACGCCGUGGAGCAGCAGCGGCGGCGCGGGGGCCGCACGCUGAUACACUGCGUGGCCGGCGUCAGCCGCAGCGCCUCGCUCGUGCUGGCCCACCAGGUCAAACACGCCGGCCUCAGCCUGCGCGAGGCGUUCCAGCGCGUGCGGUCGCGCCGCGCCGUCGUGCGGCCCAACGCCGGCUUCUUCCAGCAGCUGAUCGAGUUUGAGCGGCGCGUGCGCGGCAGCGCGAGCGUGCGCAUGGUGCGUCACCCGGCAGGCGGCGGCGAGCUGAUCCCGGACGUGUACGAGACCGAGUACCGGCGGCUUAUCGGCUGGGCCGAGUGGCUGCGCACCAAAAACCUGGAGCCGGAGGACGACAGCGCUGAGUGGUGGCCCGACGCGGACGACUGCUGUGACGACGAGUGGCGCGGUGGCGUUUGCGGCGCCGACGAUGUGGCGCGCGGUCGCGAGCGGGCCGGGCCGCGCGGUCUAUAGAUGGCUGGCAGCAGCCAAGACCUAGCGCGAGAGUGCGCGUCAACCAGGCGCGAGCGCACCGGGUCAGCAUCUUCCGGAGCCGCGGCUCCGCCUCAACAGGCGGCCGCCCGCUGGACACGGGCGGCGGCCUUGCCGACAC